UACGUAGGGUGCAAGCGUUGUCCGGAAUUAUUGGGCGUAAAGAGCUCGUAGGCGGUUUGUCGCGUCUGCUGGGAAAACUCGGGGCUUAACUCCGGGCCUGCAGUGGGUACGGGCAGACUAGAGUGCGGUAGGGGAGACUGGAAUUCCUGGUGUAGCGGUGAAAUGCGCAGAUAUCAGGAGGAACACCGGUGGCGAAGGCGGGUCUCUGGACAGUUCCUGACGCUGAGGCACGAAGGCCAGGGGAGCAAACGGG
rnacentral:rRNA from 1 species